rnacentral:rRNA from 1 species
AUUGAACGCUGGCGGCAGGCCUAACACAUGCAAGUCGAACGAGUGGCGGACGGGUGAGUAAUGUCUGGGAAACUGCCCGAUGGCGGGGGAUAACUACUGGAAACGGUAGCUAAUACCGCAUACCAUCGGAUGUGCCCAGAUGGGGUUAGCUAGUAGGUGGGGUAACGGCUCACCUAGGCGACGAUCCCUAGCUGGUCUGGGAGGAUGCCCGGCCACACUGGAGCUGAGACACGGUCAAGACGCCUACGGAAGGCAGCAGUGGGGAAUAUUGCGCAAUGGGGGCAAGCCUUAUGCAGCCAUGCGGCGUGUAUGAAGAAGGCCUUCGGGUGGGAAAGUACUUUCAGCGAGGAGGCGUUACUCGCAGAAGAAGCACCGGCUAACUCCGUGCCAGCAGCCGCGGUAAUAC